UAGGGAAUCUUCCACAAUGGACGCAAGUCUGAUGGAGCAACGCCGCGUGAGUGAAGAAGGCUUUCGGGUCGUAAAACUCUGUUAUUGAAGAAGAACGUGUGUGACAGUAACUGGUCAUGCAGUGACGGUAUUCAAUCAGAAAGUCACGGCUAACUACGUGCCAGCAGCCGCGGUAAUACGUAGGUGGCAAGCGUUGUCCGGAUUUAUUGGGCGUAAAGCGAGUGCAGGCGGUCUUUUAAGUCUGAUGUGAAAGCCUUCGCUUAACCGAAGAAGGGCAUCGGAAACUGGGAGACUUGAGUGCAGAAGAGGAGAGUGGAACUCCAUGUGUAGCGGUGAAAUGCGUAGAUAUAUGGAAGAACACCAGUGGCGAAGGCGGCUCUCUGGUCUGUAACUGACGCUGAGGCUCGAAAGCGUGGGUAGCAAACA
rnacentral:rRNA from 1 species